CGUUAGCGGCGGACGGGUGAGUAACACUGGGUAACCUACCUAUAAGACUGGGAUAACUUCGGGAAACCGGAGCUAAUACCGGAUAAUAUUUCGAACCGCAUGGUUCGAUAGUGAAAGAUGGUUUUGCUAUCACUUAUAGAUGGACCUGCGCCGUAUUAGCUAGUUGGUAAGGUAACGGCUUACCAAGGCGACGAUACGUAGCCGACCUGAGAGGGUGAUCGGCCACACUGGAACUGAGACACGGUCCAGACUCCUACGGGAGGCAGCAGGA
rnacentral:rRNA from 1 species